rnacentral:rRNA from 1 species
CGAACGCUGGAACGGCGUGGAUAAGACAUGCAAGUCGGACGGGAUUACUUUUGGUAGCAAUACCGAGAGUGAUCCAGUGGCGAACGGGUGCGUAACACGUGGGCAAUCUGCCGAGAAGUGGGGGAUAGCUCGCCGAAAGGCGAAUUAAUACCGCAAAUGUGAUCAGAGGCGACAUCGCUUCGAAAUCAAAGGUGGCAAGCAAGCUACCGCUUUUUGAGGAGCCCGCGGCCAAUAUCAGCAUUGUUGGUGAGGUAACGGCUCACCAAGGAACGUUGACGGGUAGCUGGUCUGAGAGGACGACCAGUCAAACACUGGGACUGAGACACGGCCCAGACACCUAAAACGGGUGGCAGCAGUCGAGAAUUUUUCUCAAUGGGGGAAACCAACUGAAAGGAGCGACGCCGCGUGGAGGAUGAAGGUCUUCGGGUUGUAAACUCCUGUCAUUUGGGAACAAGUGCCAAGGUACAUAACUGCUACCGGCUUGAUAGUACCAGAAGAGGAAGAGACGGCUAACUCUGUGCCAGCAGCCGCGGAAUAAUACAGAGGUCUCAAGCGAAUAAUGUUCGGAUUCAUUGGGCGUAAAGGGUGCGUAGGUGGCGUGGUAAGUCGGGAUGUGAAAUUUCGGAGCUUAACUCCAAGAAACUGCAUUCGAUACUGCCGUGCUUGAGGACUGGAGAGGAGACUGGAAUUUACGGUGUAGCAGUGAAAUGCGUAGAGAUCGUAAGGAAGACCAGUGGCGAAGGCGGGUCUCUGGAACCCAGUAAUCCUGACACUGAGGCACGAAGGCCAGGGGAGCAAACGGGAUUAGAUACCCCGGUAGUCCUGGCAGUAAACCCGGUGCACGUUUGGUGUGGGAGGAUUCGACCCCUUCUGCGCCGGAGCUAACGCGUUAAACGUGCCGCCUGGGGAGACCUACGGUCGCAAGAUUAAAACUCAAAGAAAUUGACGGG